GACGAACGCUGGCGGCGUGCUUAACACAUGCAAGUCGAACGGUAAGGCCCUUCGGGGUACACGAGUGGCGAACGGGUGAGUAACACGUGGGUGAUCUGCCCUGCACUUCGGGAUAAGCCUGGGAAACUGGGUCUAAUACCGGAUAGGACCACUGCCUGCAUGGGUGGUGGUGGAAAGCUUUUGCGGUGUGGGAUGGGCCCGCGGCCUAUCAGCUUGUUGGUGGGGUGAUGGCCUACCAAGGCGACGACGGGUAGCCGGCCUGAGAGGGUGACCGGCCACACGGGGACUGAGAUACGGCCCAGAGUCCUACGGGAGGCAGCAGUGGGGAAUAUUGCACAAUGGGCGCAAGCCUGAUGCAGCGACGCCGCGUGAGGGAUGACGGCCUUCGGGUUGUAAGCCUCUUUCAGCACCGACGAAGCGCAAGUGACGGUAGGUGCAGAAGAAGGACCGGCCAACUACGUGCCAGCCGCCGCCGUAA
rnacentral:rRNA from 1 species